UACGGGGGGAGCAAGCGUUGUUCGGAUUUAUUGGGCGUAAAGAGCGUGUAGGCGGUUAGGUAGGUCCGUUGUGAAAACUCGAGGCUCAACCUCGAGACGCCGAUGGAAACCCCCUGACUAGAGUCCGGAAGAGGAGAGUGGAAUUCCUGGUGUAGCGGUGAAAUGCGCAGAUAUCAGGAAGAACACCCGUGGCUAAGGCGGCUCUCUAGUACGGUACUGACGCUGAGACGCGAAAGCGUGGGGAGCGAACAGG
rnacentral:rRNA from 1 species